rnacentral:rRNA from 1 species
GAUGAACGCUGGCGGCGUGCUUAACACAUGCAAGUCGAACGGGAAGGCCCAAGCUUGCUUGGGUCCUCGAGUGGCGAACGGGUGAGUAACACGUGGGUGAUCUGCCCUGCACUUCGGGAUAAGCCUGGGAAACUGGGUCUAAUACCGGAUAGGACGAUGGUUUGGAUGCCAUUGUGGAAAGGUUUUUCGGUGUGGGAUGAGCUCGCGGCCUAUCAGCUUGUUGGUGGGGUAAUGGCCUACCAAGGCGUCGACGGGUAGCCGGCCUGAGAGGGUGUACGGCCACAUGGGGACUGAGAUACGGCCCAGACUCCUACGGGAGGCAGCAGUGGGGAAUAUUGCACAAUGGGCGCAAGCCUGAUGCAGCGACGCCGCGUGGGGGAUGACGGCCUUCGGGUUGUAAACUCCUUUCGCUAGGGACGAAGCGUUUUUGUGACGGUACCUGGAGAAGAAGCACCGGCUAACUACGUG